rnacentral:rRNA from 1 species
GACAGAGGUGCCAAGCGUUAGGCGGAAUCACUGGGCUUAAAGCGUGUGUAGGCGGAUCGUUAAGUACCUUGUGAAAUCCCACGGCUCAACCGUGGAACUGCUGGGUAUACUGGCGAUCUUGAGCCACCUAGGGGCGAGCGGAACAGGCGGUGGAGCGGUGAAAUUCGUAGAUAUUCGCAAGAACACCAGUGGCGAAGGCGGCUCACUGGCCCGAUACUGACGCUGAGGCACGAAAGCGUGGGGAGCAAACAGG